rnacentral:rRNA from 1 species
AGCGAACGCUGGCGGCAGGCCUAACACAUGCAAGUCGAACGAACCUUUCGGGGUUAGUGGCGGACGGGUGAGUAACACGUGGGGACGUGCCUUUAGGUUCGGAAUAACUCAGGGAAACUUGUGCUAAUACCGAAUGUGCCCUUCGGGGGAAAGAUUAAUCGCCUUUAGAGCGGCCCGCGUCUGAUUAGCUAGUUGGUUGAGGUAAUGGCUCACCAAGGCGACGAUCAGUAGCUGGUCUGAGAGGAUGAUCAGCCACAUUGGGACUGAGACACGGCCCAAACUCCUACGGGAGGCAGCAGUGGGGAAUCUUGCGCAAUGGGCGAAAGCCUGACGCAGCCAUGCCGCGUGAAUGAUGAAGGUCUUAGGAUUGUAAAAUUCUUUCACCGGGGACGAUAAUGACGGUAACCGGAGAAGAAGCCCCGGCUAACUUCGUG